UACAUAGGGCUCAAGCGUUGUCCGGAAUUACUGGGCGUAAAGGGUGCGUAGGCCGCCCGGUAAGUCAGAGGUGAAAUCCCGGAGCUCAACUCCGGAAAUGCCUCCGAUACUGCCGUGCUUGAGGACUGGAGAGGAGUCUGGAAUUCACAGUGGAGCAGUGAAAUGCGUAGAUAUUGUGAGGAACACUAGUGGCGAAGGCGAGACUCUGGACAGUUCCUGACGCUGAGGCACGAAGGCCAGGGGAGCAAACGGG
rnacentral:rRNA from 1 species